GACGAACGCUGGCGGCGUGCUUAACACAUGCAAGUCGAACGGAAAGGCCCUGCUUUUGUGGGGUGCUCGAGUGGCGAACGGGUGAGUAACACGUGAGUAACCUGCCCCUGACUUUGGGAUAACUUCAGGAAACUGGGGCUAAUACCGGAUAGGAGCUCCUGCUGCAUGGUGGGGGUUGGAAAGUUUCGGCGGUUGGGGAUGGACUCGCGGCUUAUCAGCUUGUUGGUGGGGUAGUGGCUUACCAAGGCUUCGACGGGUAGCCGGCCUGAGAGGGUGACCGGGCACAAUGGGACUGAGAUACGGCCCAGACUCCUACGGGAGGCAGCAGUGGGGAAUAUGGCACAAUGGGCGGAAGCCUGAUGCAGCAACGCCGCGUGCGGGAUGACGGCCUUCGGGUUGUAAACCGCUUUCGCCUGUGACGAAGCGUGAGUGACGGUAAUGGGUAAAGAAGCACCGGCUAACUACGUG
rnacentral:rRNA from 1 species